CCCACAUAAAGUGGGUAUGCCUCUUUAAGAGACAGAGGUUAAGGAGGCUGGGUGGUCUACCUGGCCAAUAGGAAGUUUAGUUUCCAGAGCGUCUGAACCAAUCAGAAUGCAGACUGCCGUUGUGGGUCCCGCCCUUCUCCCCCGGGUCUGCAGUACUGUUGGUUUGCCCUAGAGUUCCGACGUAAUGAGACAGCUGAGCUGUGCAGCGCCAGCGUAUGUAUUGUGACAGUUAAAGUAUUUCGUACGAACUGUAUUAUUUACAAACUGUAUUAUAAACUAACUCUUUUGUAAAUAGAUUUUCUGUUGAUCGUCCAGCUUCUGGGCUGGAAAUGAUUUAUUAAGUAUAAAGACUAAACUUCAGUUUUCUGCUGUUAGAGCCGUUAGGAACCGUUAGCUCUUUCUGGCAGUUGGUUCAUCUUGUUCUCCGUUCAGUUAAAGUGCCCCACGCAGCCGGACUGAGAGACACUAUACAGUUGUCUGAGGCGUGUCGCAUUGAGAUCGGUCAGGUUUUUUAUUUGUGCUGGAUUGUUCCUGAAGUGGAACCUCCUUUGACCUUGAUGGCGAGCCUUCCCACCUGGACCUAAGGAAAGAACCAGAUUUCGUCUGUCCCAUUUGGAGUCCUGCUGCACCCUGCGGUGUGGUAGGCGUGUAACACACAUCUUCACACACAGUUGGUUAUGUGUGAGACCACCGACUGACAUUCUCCAUUCUUAUUGUUUUUUUUUUAUUUUGGACAAUACAUUUUGGACCAAUUUUAUUUCAUACAUUAUAACAAACUGCUGUGGUGGAAAUUCUCCUCUGUGAACGAUGUCGAGUUAACUCAAUUUGGAAAUGAAUUUAAUUAAUCUGUUGACUAAUAUAAUUUAGAGUGCAGAUUACUAGGGUGCACCCAAAAUAUUUGAAUCUAAGAGAUAGCACUUGGCCAAGUAAUAUUGUCAUUAUUUUAUGUAUUUUAUUGUGUGUAAUUUUAUUUUCAUAAUUGUGUGUUUUGUGCAACUGUCAAUUGUAUGUUUUAUGUCACUAAAGCCAGUUCUUUAGAUA